GGAUGUCCAACUCUGGGUUGUGUGGAGGAAGCCUGCAGCACCAGAGGGCCUCUCCAGACUAUUGGGAACCUGUGUCACUAAUCUGACCUCUGUCCCCGGACCUCAUAUUCGAGUCUGCAGAUGCUGUUCCCAUGCAGAACACAGAGGCAGCCGCCUCACAGAGCCUGAUUUCAAGAGGACCUCCUGAGAGAUUUGUGUGGGCCUUUGUGGGUCCUCAGUGACAACAGAGAAAAGGCUGGGCCUCUGCAACUGGCAGAAAAAGGCUGGAUUUCUGAAGAGUCUCAAGUUCAUCCUGAAAAGGUAGUCUCUGGUCCCUGGCUCUAGCCCACAACUGUCAGACCUGAGUAUUCACUGCCAUCGUCCACCUAGCAGAGAGCAGUUGUGAGGGCACCUGUGGAAAUCUGAGCGGCAACUGUCCCAGAUCGCCAAGCAGAGGCAGAGGACGUGGGGCCAAUUCCCAGCACCCACAUGGCAGCUCAGAACUAUCUGUAACUCCCAAUCCCGGGUCCUGACACCCUCACGGGUCUUGGAAGAGCGCGAGUGCUCCUAACCACUAAGAAUCUCAAGCUGUGUGGUUGACUCAGUUUCCUCCAGACCCCUGCGUGCUGCACAUUCACUUAUGAACUGUGGAUUCCAAACAUAAACAGAGCUCCAUCAUCACCCUGAGCUUCCUGGAUGCAGAGGGGCGAACCCUAUUCCAGUGUGUCCUUCCAUGCAGCCACUGAGGCUCUUGGUUCCUGUUUUAAAUUCAGAAUGAUACAAUGGAAAGCAAA